AUCCUCCUAGCCGCCGCCACCGCACUGUCUCUUCUCUGUUUUCCGUGUCCGACCAACCAUCGAGCUCCCUUCCUCGAUCUCCUCGCCCGACAAACUGCAAGCCGCAGCAGCAGCAGUCUGUGUCCACCGGAGACGUUCAACGCUCGCAGCUCCCGGAGACGUUCAACGCUCGCAGCUCCUCGCGCCCGCACGCCGCAGAGCAUCAGCAGCAGUCGUGAGCGCCCCGUCCCCUCGUCAUGUACCUCGAUCCAGGAUGGAUCGGGAGCAUCAGUGCCUUUUGCUCAUGGCCGCCAGCUUCAACCACCAGGACGCCGCCGCCGGACCAGCAGGUUCCCUGCCUUGUGCCUUUUCCGUUUUCCUGACUCUCCUGCUCCUCUAACCUUCGGUUCUUCCUCUCCCGUUUGACCAAGUCACCGACAGGGACCCCGCCAUGGAUCUCCGGCCGCCGUCCGGAGCCUUGCUGCCGCGCCCGCCUGGAUCGGGCCUGGAUCCGUCACCGGCGACCAAACCCUGCCUCGCUUCCACCGUCAACUACCCGUUCCUCGUUGGGGGCUCUCUUCGUGCAGCGAUGGAGGUUCCCAGCCCCUCCUCUGCUUCGUUCUACGGGGAGGAUGAGGCGCCCCUGCCUCGCGUGGCCCGCGCCCGCAACCCUCUGCCUCGCGCGCCCGUUCCAGCGGUGCGUUGACCUCCAGCAUCGACAGCACCUAGCCCAGCAGCCUCCAAGGCCCAGCCAGACCCGCCGACCUGCUACUUCCAUCGGCCGGGCCAAGGCCCAUGGUUCUGAUAAUGUCGCGUUUGUGAGGAUCUGUUCGACUACGUCUGUUUGUCUUCUUCAUGGACUCGUUCUUCUUCCUUGCAGGAUUUCAGGCAAGAUGACCAUACCCUCGAAAUCACUUUUAUCUUUGCUUGCUAGUUGCUCGCUCUAUUGCUAUGCCACGAUACCUACCACUUGCUAUAUCAUGCCUCCCAUAUUGCCAUGUCAAGCCUCUAACCCACCUUUUCCUAGCAAACCGUUGUUUGGCUAUGUUACCGCUUUGCUCAGCCCCUCUUAUAGCGUUGCUAGUUGCAGGUGAAGAUGGAGUUUGUUCCAUGUUGGAACAUGUAUAUGUUUGGAUAUCACAAUAUCUCUUAAUUAAUUUAAUUCAUCUAUAUACUUGGUAAAGGGUGGAAGGCUCGGGCUUAUGCCUGGUGUUUUGUUCCACUCUUGCCGCCCUAGUUUCUGUCAUACCGAUGUUAUGUUCCUUGAUUUUGCGUUCCUUACACGGUUGGGUGUUAUGGGGACCCCUUGACAAUUUGUUUUGAAUAAAACUCCUCCAGCAAGUCCCAACCUUGGGUUUACCAUUUGCCUCAUCACCACCUACUUUUCCCUUGGGAGUCAUGCUCCCAAGGGUCAUCUUUAUUUUAACCCCCUCGGGCCAGUGCUUGUCUAAGUGUUGGUCCGAACCGGGCAGCAUGCGGGGCCACCUCGGGGAAACUUGAGGGCUGGUUUUACUCGUAGCUUGACCUAUCCGGUGUUGCCCUGAGAACGAGAUAUGUGCAGCUCCUAUCAGGAUGUCUGCACAUCGGGCGGUCUUGCUAGUCUUGUUUUACCAUUGUCGAAAUGUCUUGUAACCGGGAUUCCGAGUCUGAUCGGAUCUUCCUAGGAGAAGGAAUAUCCUUCGUUGACCGUGAGAGCUUGUGAUGGGCUAAGUUGGGACACCCCUGUAGGGUUUUGAACUUUCGAAAGUUGUACCCGCGGUUAUGGGUAGAUGAGAAUUUGUUAAUGUUAGGUUGUAAAAAACUUGAAACUUGACUUAAUUAAAAUGCAUCAACCGCGUGUGUAGUUGUGAUGGUCUCUUUCCGGCGGAGUCCGGGAAGUGAACACGGUUCUUGUGUUAUGCUUGAACGUAAGUAGUUUCAGGAUCACUUAUUGAUCACUUCUAGUUCACGACCGUUGCUUUGGUUCUCUUCUCGCUCUUAUUUGCGUAUGUUAGCCACCAUUUAUGCUAGUGCUUGUUGCAACUCCACCUCACUACCUUUUUCCUACCGAUAAGCUUAAAUAGUCUUGAUCUCGCGGGUGUGAGAUUGCUGAGUCCUCAUGGCUCAUAGUUACUUCCAAAAAAACAGUUGCAGGUGCCGAUGAUACCAGUGCAAGUGAUGCAACCGAGCUCAAGGAGGAGCUCGAUGAAGUUCGUGUUCGUUGUGUUGUUUCGUUUAUUUUCGAUCAGUAGUGGAGCCCAGUUGGGGCGAUCGGGGAUCUAACAUUUGGCGUUGUCUUUAUUUUGGUUCCGUAGUUGGACCUUGAUUUGUAUUCUGGAUGAUGUAAUGCUAUAUUUACGUAUUGUGCGAAGUGGCGAUUGUAAGCCAACUCUUUAUCCC
rnacentral:rRNA from 1 species